rnacentral:misc_RNA from 1 species
AAAGUCGUAACAAGGUUUCCGUAGGUGAACCUGCGGAAGGAUCAUUAACACGUAUCCAACGUAUACACCCCUGUGGUCCUGUGCGCGGCUCUAUAUGUAAGUGGUAGAAACCUACUUGUGACUCGAGUGGUUGCAAAGAAAAUUUCUUGAUCUCAAAUAUCUGACCUGCGUGGUUAGCAGAAUUUGAGGUCUUGCGAUUGGGUUAUACUAGUUUUCUGCGAGAAAACAGCUUCAUAUAGCAGACGUUUUAACCAAACCUUUACCAAAUUUGACUAAUUUAGAAAUAAGUAUGAUGCGCUCUGCUUUAUUUCGAAAUACGAAACGUUAACAACUCUUAACAACGGAUAUCUUGGUUCUC